rnacentral:rRNA from 1 species
AAAUUGAAGAGUUUGAUCAUGGCUCAGAUUGAACGCUGGCGGCAGGCCUAACACAUGCAAGUCGAACGGUAACAGGAAGCAGCUUGCUGCUUCGCUGACGAGUGGCGGACGGGUGAGUAAUGUCUGGGAAACUGCCUGAUGGAGGGGGAUAACUACUGGAAACGGUGGCUAAUACCGCAUAACGUCGCAAGACCAAAGAGGGGGACCUUCGGGCCUCUUGCCAUCAGAUGUGCCCAGAUGGGAUUAGCUAGUUGGUGAGGUAACGGCUCACCAAGGCGACGAUCCCUAGCUGGUCUGAGAGGAUGACCAGCCACACUGGAACUGAGACACGGUCCAGACUCCUACGGGAGGCAGCAGUGGGGAAUAUUGCACAAUGGGCGCAAGCCUGAUGCAGCCAUGCCGCGUGUAUGAAGAAGGCCUUAGGGUUGUAAAGUACUUUCAGCGGGGAGGAAGGUGUUGUG